CUAGCCAAGCCUGCCUAACCUCUGCUCACCUCAGCUUAAACAUCACUUCCUCAGAGAUACCUUCCCUUCACCUGCUGCAGCUCUCACUUACCUCCUGGGCUCCCCACGAGCUGCAGAGAAGUUCUGCACGAGAACAUUUCUAGCAUCCUGGGAAAUCGCUGAGUUGUUUGCAUUAUCCUGUCUUCACUCACCUCAGAUCACAAGUAGAGAGCAAUGAAGCUGGAGACCCUCAAGGUUUAGGAUUCCAAGGUUCAGUGUGCGCCUGACUGCUCAGCUGGGAGUUUCCUUUGCUUUUAUGGAUUUCAAGUGAGGGAAAUGAGGUCACUUGUCAAGAAAUGUACAUUUUCUCAGAAAACAUUGUUGCAAUGGAAGCAGCAAGGCAUAAAACAGAACCCAGGAACUGUUGAAAAGCUAUCACCCACCCUGUCUGAGCCUCAGUUCACUCACUUGUAUCCAGAAGCCUCAACAGAUAAUUGAAUAAUUAAGUGAAAUCAUCUGUUCGCUGGAGGACACAGCCCUGCCAUCUCCAUAGUCCUUCACCAGGCUUUCCCCAGCCCCCAGCUCCAGCCUCAGGAAGUGGAGCUGCUGAGAAUCUCUCCUCCAGCCUCGCCUCCUGCCGAGAGUGUCCUCUGCGCUCCAUGCCCAAUGUGGGCCUUGAACUCAAGAUCAAGAGUCAUAUGCUCUACCAACUAAGCCAGCCAGGUGCCCCUUGAUCCUUUCUAAUUUUCUGAAGAAGACUGUUUCAGGCCAUGUCCUCAGAACCCCACUUCCUCUUGGUGGACAGAGCUCAGGGCCCACGGCUACAGGAAAUUUGCAGAGUCCCUCCUUUUUUUUGUUUCUCUUCACUCUCUCCCCUUUGCUGUUCUCAUAAUCUUAUCUACC